AACGAACGCUGGCGGCAGGCUUAACACAUGCAAGUCGAGCGCCCCGCAAGGGGAGCGGCAGACGGGUGAGUAACGCGUGGGAAUCUACCCAUCUCUACGGAAUAACGCAUGGAAACGUGUGCUAAUACCGUAUACGUCCUUCGGGAGAAAGAUUUAUCGGAGAUGGAUGAGCCCGGGUUGGAUUAGCUAGUUGGUGGGGUAGAGGCCUACCAAGGCGACGAUCCAUAGCUGGUCUGAGAGGAUGAUCAGCCACACUGGGACUGAGACACGGCCCAGACUCCUACGGGAGGCAGCAGUGGGGAAUAUUGGACAAUGGGCGCAAGCCUGAUCCAGCCAUGCCGCGUGAGUGAUGAAGGCCCUAGGGUUGUAAAGCUCUUUCACCGGUGAAGAUAAUGACGGUAACCGGAGAAGAAGCCCCGGCUAACUUCGUGCCAGCAGCCGCAGUAACAC
rnacentral:rRNA from 1 species